rnacentral:ncRNA from 1 species
UGAUGAGCAUGACUCUAGUCUGGUACUGUGAAGAGACAUCAGAAACAUAGAAUAAAUGGGAGGCCCCAUGGUUGUGGCCUGGUGACGUUGCCAGUGAAAUAAUACUGAUCAUUUUUUCCACUUACCCAGUGAGCUGUGGGUGGAAGGUGAGCCCCAAAGGGCUUUCAUGUCUGAUGCCAAGUGCCUGGCACAACCUGCUCCACUGACAAUGUCAGGUGGGGAUUUUGACUGGGGCAGUAGACCAGGCAAACCAUAACACAGGUAUCCUAAGGCAACCUCAGGGAGAGCAGAAACAACCCAUGGAGCAGAAGAUCAAGGUUUGAUCUUGAUUUUCAGUACAAAUGUCGUCCAUGAAAGCAGGGCCUCAUGAUCCUUCUGACUUUCAGGUUUUCAGCAGGCAGACAGACAAUGGAUGAGGAACCCCAGACAUGAGUCUCCACAUAAGGAACUCGGGCAUCUAGGAUGUUAUGCUCUGUCCCCCAACAACCUGGGGAAUUCAGGCUGUUCCCACA